GAUGAACGCUGGCGGCGUGCCUAAUACAUGCAAGUCGAGCGAACAGACGAGGAGCUUGCUCCUCUGACGUUAGCGGCGGACGGGUGAGUAACACGUGGAUAACCUACCUAUAAGACUGGGAUAACUUCGGGAAACCGGAGCUAAUACCGGAUAAUAUAUUGAACCGCAUGGUUCAAUAGUGAAAGACGGUUUUGCUGUCACUUAUAGAUGGAUCCGCGCCGCAUUAGCUAGUUGGUGGGGUAACGGCUUACCAAGGCAACGAUGCGUAGCCGACCUGAGAGGGUGAUCGGCCACACUGGAACUGAGACACGGUCCAGACUCCUACGGGAGGCAGCAGUAGGGAAUCUUCCGCAAUGGGCGAAAGCCUGACGGAGCAACGCCGCGUGAGUGGUGAAGGUCUUCGGAUCGUAAAACUCUGUUAUUAGGGAAGAACAAAUGUGUAAGUAACUAUGCACGUCUUGACGGUACCUAAUCAGAAAGCCACGGCUAACUACGUG
rnacentral:rRNA from 1 species